rnacentral:tRNA from 1 species
GGAAGUGCCGAGGCGCCUGGUGGGUCUCCUGGUCUUCAAAACCAGUGUACCGGUGACGAGCUGGUAGGUGGGUUCGAUUCCCAUGCACUUCCGCCA